CGUGUAGGCGGGAAUGCAAGUCAGAUGUGAAAUACCGUAGCUUAACUACGGGGCUGCAUCUGAAACUGUGUUUCUUGAGUGUCGGAGAGGAAAGUGGAAUUCCCAGUGUAGCGGUGAAAUGCGUAGAUAUUGGGAGGAACACCAGUGGCGAAGGCGACUUUCUGGACGAUAACUGACGCUGAGGCGCGAAAGCGUGGGGAGCAAACAGGAUUAGAUACCCUGGUAGUCCACGCUGUAAACGAUGGAUACUAGGUGUAGGAGGUAUCGACCCCUUCUGUGCCGGAGUUAACACAAUAAGUAUCCCACCUGGGGAGUACGGCCGCAAGGUUGAA
rnacentral:rRNA from 1 species